UGGAUAGACAGGAAUGGUGGGAGAGAGAUGAGGGAUGACACGCAGCAAAGGGCCGCAGGUCGGAUUUGAACCCGGGCCGCUGCAAAGGCCUCAGCCUACAUGGGGCGCACAUUCUUACUAGAAGCUAUUAUUUACAUUCUGAUAAUAUAGAUGCCCAGAGUUCGGUUACAGCCACAUCUGUACACAGUUUCAUGAGGGCGCAUUUUUACAAGAUAAACGACUCACCCAGUAUGAGAUAGAGGUGUGGAGUGACGACGUCUAAAAAGCUCAGGGCUCUCAAUCAGCAAGAAGAAGAGCCUUGGUGUGACAUGUUCUACCAGCAGUGUGUGUUGGAGUGUGUGUUAGGGUUUCCUCCAGGUCAGAGGAGGGAUGGUGGCGUUG